ACAUUUCGAAAGGGGGUCUAAUACUGGAUAACAUCCUGAUGGUUUAGGCCAUAAGGAUCAAAGAUAGCCUCUACAUGUAAGCUAUUGUGCAGGGAUGAGCCCGCGUACCAUUAGCUAGUUGGUGGGGUAAGAGCCUACCAAGGCGACGAUGGUUAGCUGGUCUGAGAGGAUGAUCAGCCACACUGGAACUGAAACACGGUCCAGACUCCUACGGGAGGCAGCAGUGAGGAAUUUUGCGCAAUGGGGGAAACCCUGACGCAGCAACGCCGCGUGAGUGAAGAAGGCUUUCGGGUCGUAAAGCUCUGUCAAGAGGGAAGAAAGUGGGAGAUGGCAAUACUGUUUUCUAUUGACGGUACCUCUGAAGGAAGCACCGGCUAACUCCGUGCCAGCAGCCGCGGUAA
rnacentral:rRNA from 1 species